AGGGAAUCUUCGGCAAUGGACGGAAGUCUGACCGAGCAACGCCGCGUGAGUGAAGAAGGUUUUCGGAUCGUAAAGCUCUGUUGUAAGAGAAGAACGAGUGUGAGAGUGGAAAGUUCACACUGUGACGGUAUCUUACCAGAAAGGGACGGCUAACUACGUGCCAGCAGCCGCGGUAAUACGUAGGUCCCGAGCGUUGUCCGGAUUUAUUGGGCGUAAAGCGAGCGCAGGCGGUUAGAUAAGUCUGAAGUUAAAGGCUGUGGCUUAACCAUAGUAGGCUUUGGAAACUGUUUAACUUGAGUGCAAGAGGGGAGAGUGGAAUUCCAUGUGUAGCGGUGAAAUGCGUAGAUAUAUGGAGGAACACCGGUGGCGAAAGCGGCUCUCUGGCUUGUAACUGACGCUGAGGCUCGAAAGCGUGGGGAGCAAACAGGAUUAGAUACCCUGGUAGUCCACGCCGUAAACGAUGAGUGCUAGGUGUUAGACCCUUUCCGGGGUUUAGUGCCGUAGCUAACGCAUUAAGCACUCCGCCUGGAGAGUACGACCGCAAGGUUG
rnacentral:rRNA from 1 species